ACAUUGAAUAGUUGUACUUGGUUUCACAGGAUUUAACUGUUUAUCCUAAAUUAACCUUUCAACAGAUUACUUCCAACAAUUAUUUUUAAAAAAUACAACGCGAUUCUAGAUAUUAUUUUCAUCCGCAUUACAUGGACACGGAACAUAAUAAAAGGAUUGCCGCGCGUACAACUUCUUGGUAAAAAUCAACAUGAUACAAAGUUAAAGAGUCAAACAAGCAGGAAGAAGAUAGUGAUUCAUCUCAGAGGAUGGACCCCCUUCUACUGAAUAUUAAACGACGAUGGUUUGUCAACAAAGUCCGACAACUCUUACAGUUCCGAACAAUAAAAAGGAAUAGAAAAGAAUGAAUUUUGAAAAUGCAAAGAAAAAAGGAAAAAAUCUAAAGCUUCUUUAUAAUAAAUUAUAUUCCUUAUUUGGAAUUUGAAUAUGAAUCAAAAUCUUUGAUUUUAAAUUGUGGUAUUCUAUAUGUACUUCACCUGGCUACAUUUAGACAAAAUCGUCAAUUGCAAUGUACUAAAACAGUUAACAAAUUAUAAUUAGCGGUCAACUUAUUGUUUUCGUAUGCUUUCACACAUCUUUUUCCUAUUUUUUGUAUUAAUAUUGAUUAUGAGAUAAUUCCUCUGAAGUAUACAAGAGAUCUGGCUUUUUUGUAAAGUUUUCACAAUAUAAUUAUUAUAAAAGCUUAUUUUCUAAUUGUUAUUCAAAAUAUAAAAAUUGUUACUUAUGAAUCGGUUGUAUAUUAAACGAGUUAUUCAUGGACCUUCCGAAAACAUUCAGUAUAAAUUAAGACUAUCCAGACCCGUGUUUAUUCCAAUAAAAAUAAAGUUGACUAUUUUAAAUUUCAUCUUACUAGAUUAUUUGAUAGUAUCGAUAUGUAAUCUCUUUUAUUCGUGCAUUCGUUUGUUUGUUCAUUUAGGUUAGGUGUCUCCUAAUUAAAAUAUGUUUCAGAAUUUCUUCAAUGUUUAUUUAUUCCAGUUCAACAGCGUGUAUAAAACACAUCCCCGCACUACUAUUAUAAUGUCAGAAAAAAUAGUUUAGAAGCAAUCAUUUUUUCCAAAAAUUUGAGUGGAGUUAUGGGUUUUUUAUUAAAAUAAUUACUUCAGGCCCUAGAUUAUGAUGCUGUACAACUAUAAACUCUAUGCUCAAACUUGUAAUGCGAGCUUCAAACAUACCAUGUAGUGCUCAGAAUUUCAACUUUAAUCACUUGCAACUUUUUGGAACAUUAAAUCGUUCGAUAUUUACAUUCAUAACCAUUCAAGAUAUUUGAUACAUCAGACAAUAAAUGGAAUGAAAUAUAUUUGUAUCAAUCUUGAUUAAUAUUCUUAUUUAAGGUGAUUUGUAGCUCUAAGCUCUAUGUAGCUCUUUUACUAUAUUAUACGAAAUUUUUUUAAAAGUAGAACUGAUAUUGUCUAUUGCGUUGAACCCAUAGUUUCUUUAAAAAAAUCCAAAUAUAUUCUAUUAUCAUUGUCUGUCCUUUUUGCUUAGACAUCUCUGUUUCAACAUUAACUACAUCAUUCGUUUGGUGUGUGACACGCGGGGGCCUGUCAAUAUUAAAAA